rnacentral:rRNA from 1 species
GACGAACGCUGGCGGCGCGCUUAACACAUGCCAGUCGAACGGAAAGGCCUGCUUUCCCUUGUGGAUUGCGGGUACUCGAGUGGCGAACGGGUGAGUAACACGUGAGUGAUCUGCCCCCAACUUGGGUAUAAGCCUGGGAAACUGGGUCUAAUUCCCGAUAGGACUGCAGGGUGGUGCCUGUGGUGGAAAACGAUUUUCUAGUGGUUGGGGAUGAGCUCGCGGCCUAUCAGCUUGUUGGUGGGGUAAUGGCCUACCAAGGCGGCGACGGGUAGCCGGCCUGAGAGGGUGGACGGCCACAUUGGGACUGAGAUACGGCCCAGACUCCUACGGGAGGCAGCAGUGGGGAAUAUUGCACAAUGGGCGGAAGCCUGACGCAGCGACGCCGCGUGGGGGAUGACGGCCUUCGGGUUGUAAACUCCUUUCGACCGCGAGGAAGCCACCUGGUUGGAAGGGUGGUGACGGUAGUGGUAGAAGAAGCACCGGCUAACUACGUG